GUCUAUUUGAAGUUAUAAAAAGUCUAACCUGCCCACUGAUUAAAAUUUUUAAGGGCCGCGGUAUUAUGACCGUGCAAAGGUAGCAAAGUCAUUAGGUUUUUAAAUGGGAUCUUGUAUGAAUGGUUGAACAAAGAAAAUACUGUCUUUAUUUUAAAAUUUGAAUUUUACUUUUAAGUGAGAAGGCUUAAAUAUUUUAGAGGGACGAUAAGACCCUAUAAAGCUUUACAUUGUAAUAUAUAUUUGAUUAAAUUUAAAAAAUAAAAGUUUAAUAUAAUUGUUUGUUUUAUUGGGGAGAUAGAGGUAUAAAUAAUAUUAACUGCUUUUAAUAAAGACAUUUAUUUAUGAAUUAUAUUGUAAUGGAUCCUUACAAAUAAAGAAUUAAAGAUUAAGUUACUUUAGGGAUAACAGUGUAAUUUUUUUUAAGAGUUCAUAUCGAAAAAAAAGUUUGCAACCUCGAUGUUGAAUUAAGAUAUCUAUAUAAUGUAGCCGUUAUUUAAGAGGGUCUGUUCGACCUUU
rnacentral:rRNA from 1 species